CCCCGCGGCGAUCCGCGCGCGCCGCAUCGCCGAGGGCUACCCGCAGUACAGCAGCCUGCCAGUCAUCGGCCACCUGCUACACGUUCUCAGGCCUAGAGACGAAAUCUUCGCCCUUCCACGUCAGUGGCCCAAGAUGUUCGGCAGCCCUUCGGUCCUCGUCUUGUUUGG